GUUUUAAUAGCUUAAAUCCAUAGAGCAUAGCACUGAAGAUGCUAAGGUGGCAAAAUUGCCUUAAAGCA
rnacentral:tRNA from 1 species